rnacentral:rRNA from 1 species
CCUACGGGCGGCAGCAGUGAGGAAUAUUGGUCAAUGGGCGCGAGCCUGAACCAGCCAAGUCGCGUGAGGGAUGACGGUCCUAUGGAUUGUAAACCUCUUUUGUCGGGGAGCAAAAGACGCCACGCGUGGCGUUCCGAGAGUACCCGAAGAAAAAGCAUCGGCUAACUCCGUGCCAGCAGCCGCGGUAAUACGGAGGGUGCGAGCGUUAUCCGGAUUUAUUGGGUUUAAAGGGUGCGCAGGCGGAAGAUCAAGUCAGCGGUAAAAUUGAGAGGCUCAACCUCUUCGAGCAGCUGAAACUGGUGUUCUUGAGUGAGCGAGAAGCAUGCGGAAUGCGUGGUGUAGCGGUGAAAUGCAUAGAUAUGACGAAGAACUCCGAUUGCGAAGGCAGCAUACUGCCGCUCAACUGACGCUGAUGCACGAAAGUGUGGGUAUCGAACAGGAUUAGAUACCCUAGUAGUC